AACGAACGCUGGCGGCAUGCCUAACACAUGCAAGUCGAACGAGACCUUCGGGUCUAGUGGCGCACGGGUGCGUAAAGCGUGGGAACCUGCCUUUAGGUUCGGAAUAACUCAGAGAAAUUUGAGCUAAUACCGGAUGAUGUCUUCGGACCAAAGAUUUAUCGCCUUUAGAUGGGCCCGCGUUGGAUUAGCUAGUUGGUGGGGUAAAGGCCUACCAAGGCGACGAUCCAUAGCUGGUCUGAGAGGAUGAUCAGCCACACUGGGACUGAGACACGGCCCAGACUCCUACGGGAGGCAGCAGUGGGGAAUAUUGGACAAUGGGCGAAAGCCUGAUCCAGCAAUGCCGCGGGAGUGAUGAAGGCCUUAGGGUUGUAAAGCUCUUUUACCCGAGAUGAUAAUGACAGUAUCGGGAGAAUAAGCUCCGGCUAACUCCGUG
rnacentral:rRNA from 1 species